AGUUCUCACCGUUCGUCAUGGCGGCUGGCCCUGGACCUGGGUAGGGGGUCCGGGUUCAGUGGUAAUAGCGGCGGAGAUGGGGGAGCGCCCGCUUGACACUUCCCGAUCCGGGCCGAGGUGACUGGAAGAAGCCGUAGUACGCAGGAGCAAGGGCCGAGAGGCGAGCGCCGAACGCUAUCAGGAGUGGCUAGCCGAUUGUCGAGCUCGGGAAACUGCGUGUUUACGUAGGGUAAGAAGAACGCUAUCUCGAAGGCUUCGUACUUGGCCGUGGUAACUAAGUCUUUUCUGCGUGCCCCUGCGGGCGUAGGGCUGGGGCUGGCCCGCGUCAGUGUGUUUGAAAAGGUAAAGGCUUGUAGUUUUGUAGUUUAUUUUGCGCCGUGGCGGCUGCUGUGUGUAAGCAGCAGCCUACCUAUGAGGUUUUCAUCGUCCUGGGCUUCCACUUGAGAGAACUCCAGCACCGCGGGUGAAGAAGCCGCACCUGCGGCCUCCGUGACUGCCCUUGAGCUGCUCUUCCUUACUCCGGAUGGAAAUCUAGUCAGACUGCGUCUGAACGUUGCAAAUGAAAUGAGGAACCUUGUAACAAAAACAAGUCGCGGCCGGGCGCGGUGGUUCACGCCUGUAAUCCCAGCACUUUGGGAGGCCGAGCCAGGCGGAUCACCUGAGGUCGGAGUUCGAGACCAGCCUGACCAACAAGGAGAAACCCCGUCUCUACUAAACAUACAAAAUUAGCCGGGCGCGGUGGCUCAUGCCUGUAAUCUAAGCACUUUAGGAGGCCGAGGCAGGCGGAUCACCUGAGAUCGUAGUUCGAGACCAGCCUGACCAACAUGGAGAAACCCCGUCUCUACUACAAAUACAAAAUUAGCCGGGCAUGGUGGCUCAUGCCUGUAAUGUAAUCCCAGCUACUCGGGAGGCCGAGGCAGGAGAAUCGCUUGAACCUGGGAGGCGGAGGUUGCGGUGAGCCGAGAUCGCGCCAUUGCACUCCAGCCUGGGCAACAAGAGCGGAAACUCCGUCUCAAAAACAACAACAACAACAACAACAACAACAAAAACCAAGUCGCAUCUUUCAGAUCCUAAAGCACCACGUCGUCGGAAAACAUUCAAAGGGUUGCCCGUUUGCUUGUGUGAAUUUUUCUUUUCCUUAAACUAUCAGGAGAAUCUCGAUUCUCCUGCAUUUAAUUAAUGCUGGGAUCACUUCAGCCACUUUAACCAGAAAUCGGCGAUAUCUAGACACCGCUUCUCUGAGGACACUUUGACAACGUGACAAAAGACAUUGCCAGUCUAAUGAUGGGGGUGGGGUGGAGGAGACAAAAGUACAGAUUCAGAUUUGCAUACUGAAAUCCUUAAUUGCACACAACUCGGCCCGCUUUAUUAGAGUUCGGGCGGAAGUGCGACACCGAGUCCUCCAAGGCUAACUGGAGGGUUAAAUUAUACGGUUACUAAUCCGCCGUGCUUGUCAAGGGCCUAAAGGGACUCUGCCCCUUUCUGCUGCAGUGCCAUCUGCUGGCUGCAGCCUGCUUGGUUACCCAGAGGGAAAACUGCCAAAGCAUCCUCUGGAAGCUGGCCUGGAAAGACAAGCCAAAGUCUAGUGCAGGACAGAUGCCUUGAGAAAAUAUACAUACAUGCAGAAAGAAAAAAAAAAAAAGACGGCGUAUAUACGGGACAAAACCUAGGACAAGGCCAGGCAGCCACUCAGAUUAUAUAUAUGUUUGCACAUUCACACACAGACAAAUUCCCCUGCCCAAAAGAACUGUUCAGGACCACUCAAAAACAAAACAGAACAAAAGCUCUAUUGUUUAGGCCUUCGAAUCCUUCAUCAACCAUUGUCUAAAACAGCAGCAGCUGGCCGGGCGCGGCUCACGCCUGUAAUCCCAGCACUUUGGGAGGCCGAGGCAGGCGGAUUACCUGAGGUCAGGAGUUCAAGACCACCCUGACCACAUGGUGAAACCCCGUCUCUACUUAAAAAAAAAAAAAGAAAAAAGAAAAAAAGAAAUACAGAAAUUAGCCUGGCAUGGUGGCGUGCGCCUGUAAUCCCAGCUACUCGGAAGGCAGAGGCAGGAGAAUAGCUUGAACCCGGGAGGGAGAGGUUGCAGUGAGCCGAGACAGCACCACUGCCCUCCAGCCUGGGCGACAGAGCGAGACUCCAUUUCAAAUAAUAAUAAUAAUAAUAAUAACUGCCCCCCUUUGGCCGGGCGCGGUUGCUCACGCCUGUAAUUCCAGCACUUUGGGAGGCCGAGGUGGGCGGAUCACCUGAGGUCGGGAGUUCGAGACCAGCCUGACCAACAUGGAGAAACCCCGUCUCUACUAAAAAUACAAAAGUAGCCGGGCAUGGUGGCACAUGCCUGUAAUCCCAGCUACUUGGGAGGCUGAGGCAGGAGAAUCGCUUGAACUGGGGAGGCAGAGGUUGCGGUGAGCUGAGAUCCUGCCAUAGCACGCUAGCCUGGGCAACAGUGAAACUACGUCUCAAAAAAAACAAAGAAAAGAAAAAAAAUUGCCCCUCUUGUAAUCCUACAGCCAUCACCUUAGUAAUUUUGCUAUAUCGGUAGUCUUUAAGUAUCAAUUAUGUCCUCACAACAAUGAAAACUUACAUUUUUAUAACAUUUUGACAUUUUCAAAGCAAACACACCUUGUCAUAUGAUCUUAUUUAACCCUCACAACUGCCUGAUUACCCCUGUUUUAGAAAUAAACCAAGGUUUAGGGUAAGGACUGCCAAGUAUUACACUGGCACAAUAAUUCCAGCCUUCUGAAAUCAGGACUAGAAAAUUUUCCUCCAUACCACACUGGUGUUUCCUUUGACAGCAACCACUACCUACUGAAUAAUGCCUAAGUCCUUAGCCUGCUACUCAAGGCCUUCCAAUAGUAUUUUCCACUGUUCCCUAUAUGGGCUUUAAGCUUUGUCUAUAAAGACUAUGUUCUUCAGUUACAGUCU
rnacentral:lncRNA from 1 species